UGGAAGGGCGUGGCUUAGCAGGGUAUGAGUGGUACAGAGGCGUGGAAGGGCGUGGCUUAGCCGGGUAUGAGUGGUACAGAGGUGUGGAAGGGCGUGGCUUAGCGGGGUAUCAGUGGUACAGAGGUGUGGAAGGGCGUGGCUUAGCCAGCUGUGAGUGGUACAGAGGUGUGGAAGGGCGUGGAUUAGCGGGAUAUGAGUAGUACAGAGGUGUGGAAGGGUGUGGCUUAACGGGGUAUGAGUAAUACAGAGGUGUGGAAGGGCGUGGCUUAGCCGGGGAUGAGAGAGAUCGCUGGGGAGUUGUCCCAUUUCCUAGGUAUGAGAAGCUGCCCUUGGACUACCGGGCACCCUUCUUGCUGACAUUGGAGCCACCAGGUCCACUGCCCUUGGUGUCAGGCCGCUCAGCCUCUUCUAGCCUGGCGUCACUGUCCCGCUACCUCUACCAUCAGCGCUGGCUUUGGAGUGUCCCGUCAGGACUGGCCCCUGCGCUGCCUCUCAGUGCCAU
rnacentral:lncRNA from 1 species